rnacentral:rRNA from 1 species
CAGUAGCCACGGUAAAACAGAGGGUGCGAGCGUUAAUCGGAUUUACUGGGCGUAAAGCGUGCGUAGGCGGCUAAUUGAGUCGGAUGUGAAAUCCCCGGGCUUAACCUGGGAACUGCAUUUGUGACUGACGGGCUAGAGUAUGGCAGAGGGGGGUAGAAUUCCACGUGUAGCAGUGAAAUGCGUAGAGAUGUGGAGGAAUACCGAUGGCGAAGGCAGCCCCCUGGGCCAAUACUGACGCUCAUGCACGAAAGCGUGGGGAGCAAACAGGAUUAGAUACCCCAGUAGUCCCUGUCUCUUAUAC